rnacentral:sRNA from 1 species
CAACGUAAAAAAGAUUUACUACCGAGAGU